ensembl:ncRNA C54G7.8 ncRNA
ACUGGAGAGCCCAUGCCUCCCAAACGGUCUGUGUUUUUAUUUGUGGGCUCAGAAGGGUUGCGAUCUGCCGAGUGCUGAAGAUUGCCUCCCCUCUCAGUGUAUUAUUCUUUUAUCUCAUAUGGAUCGCAGCUC